UCGUCAACAUCUUCAAUCCAUCUGUUCCGUGGGUUCCGUGCUUCCUUGCGGGUUCCCGUGAACUCGGUAAACUCUGUUCGUUUUCGUCGCGAUGUCGCUUUUGUCGUGAUUGUAAUUGUAAUGUUAUUGAGUGAAUUGUGAAUUAUCUCGUUAUUGAGAGAAUUGUGAAUUAUCUCGAGAGAAAAUUUCUAGUCGGUCAAGCACAUUGAACCCCGAAAUCGUGAUAUGUGCUAUAGCUAAGAGUCGUAUUUGUCUGUCAAAUUUGAGUCUUACUCCGGCUUUUACUUCGGAUGGUUCCCUGAUUAGUAAAUUAACACUGGAAGCAGUGAUGAAAUAUGAGGCUAUCCAGUCGUACAGUGGAAUAAGUAAGAUGGUGGUGGAUCCGACGGUGAAUGAAAUUGCUGCCAGCAUCCGGUUUUUCACUAAGAACGACGGCAUGGAGGACGAUAGAAUAACGAUGUUCCAACCAGGGUACAUUACAAACGUUCGCAGCAACCCGAACUUCAAGAAGUUGCUGAAUAAUUUCCGAGCAGAAUCGCAGAUUUAGAAGGUUAUGUUACCGGCCGCGCUGAUCAAGUUGAUUAAAGAAACAGGAGCAUCACAAAGCAAUACGGAAUACUUUCAGCCCUUGAUGGAAACGAUUGAUACAACGAAGGAUCGAUAACGAUAACAUUGCGGUGGUCUCGCUGUUGUCGAUGGGAAUUAUGUACCUACAGAGGCAGUUCUGCGGAAGAAGUUUUUAAAAAUGAGCAAUCACUGCUGAAUUGGCUGGAAUAUAUCAGAAUAUGGUUCGAAGCAUCGUUGAAUGUUUGUCGGUAUGGUUGGGAACACAGGAAUAUUCCCAUUGGAGGCUGUCACCAAUGGAAGUUUUUAUGCGAUUUUGAAGUUUGCAAAGACGCCAAACCGAAGAUCAAAAGAGCAGCCCAACACGUUGUGGCAGUCAUUCACGGAAACAUGUUAAUGCUACCACCAAAGAUCGGCAUCAAAAGAAGGCGAGCAGGAUGAUAAACUGGACGACAGUGAGCCUCCGCAACCCUUGAUGAAGUGUCAUUCAGUUUUUGUGGUGGUCGGCCACGUUCUGUAUCGGACAGCUCGGCCAAGAAUAUGUUGGAAGCAAUCAAACACAGGGUUUUCGACGUAGGAUACGAUACGGUUAUAGUGGUACAUUUUAAAAUUUGAAAA